CGGCCGAGGCGCUUACCUGGUGCGCCGGACGAGCAAGCAGAGGGCCAGGAUCAGCAGGGCCGCGGCGAGGGCCAGGCCCGGGAGGCCCAACCGCUCCAGCGAAAAGCGGCCCGUGGCCGCGGACACUUCUCCUGCCAUCCGGCGCGCGCUAGGCCGCGGUGGGCAGCCCGGGGUCUGCCUGCGAACAGCGCGGUCGGCGACUCUGCAGCCUGCGGCGGCUUCUCUCGGCGGCGCCCCCUAGUCCAGGGCCGGAGAGGCUGGCCUGCCCGCAGCGCAGACAGGAAUGUCACCGUGGUCUCCCAAGCUGAAUGACAAAAGUUCGUGGACUGCCCCCUCCCCGCCUCUCCUCCACCCACGCGUACCGCCCCGUUCCCCCACCGUUUCCGACCCGGCAGCUUCUGGAAAACAGCGCCCUUGAUCCUCCCGGGCAGGAAGAAGGGCCAAGGAAGGGGUUAGAAGGGAAAGAGUUAGGAUUUCCCAAGAACCAGCCCUGAAGGCCUGGAGGUGGGGGAUUUCGCUUCUUAAUUGGACGGGAGCCCCUUGGGUUCCUCACUUCUUAGCCUGCGCCCUGCGGGAGGAGCGACUCUGCUUGUCCCUCAAGAUGCUUGUGAAGGUGCCUGCUGCGCUCUGACACCGGCGAUCUCUUAGAAUGAAGACCAUCCCUGGGCAAAAUUAUGAAAAAGUGGAAGGAAAGAAGAGAAAGAAGAAGAAAGGAAUAUAGGAUCUUCCUCAGCAUCAGUAAUUUCUUUGGAAAGAAUUGGGGAGAAAGAAGAUAUACAUCUUUAAAAGGAAAUUGCCACUACCUCGCUAACCCAACUCUACAAAUAUACCUGACUUCACAGUAUCCAAGCAAAGACAGAAUACAUAAUUUUUAAAUCUCCCGCCUUUUCUAGGACAGAAAAAUGUAUGAGAAAGGGAAAGACAAAAGCCCUAUCAAAAGCUUAUGGUGACUUGGUUAAAGAAGGUUGCAGGCACUGUGGUAAGAGUUUGGAUGGGUGAAACAUAAUCGUUUGUUUUGUAGUAUGAGAUAAGUUUGGUUGUGAGAUGGGGAAGUGGGAAAGGAAAACCAAACUGAACCCCUGACCACAGACUUAUUCUAGGCAGAUCAAUUUUAGCAAAAAAUAGAGAAAAUGAAAAUGGAUUUUCUUAUAUCUUUUACUGCCUAUGAAGUUCUUGGAAAACUAUCAUGGAUUCUUAUAGGCACAUGUACCCAUAGUUGACUAAUUUUUGGUGUAGAUGCUCAAAAACAUUAAAAGUAGCAAUAAAUUUUAGUAAAUUGAUGGCCCUUAAAAAAUAAAAUAAUUCAUGCAGAUAAUCCAAUAAUGUCCAAAAGUUAGAAUGAGAUGAAACAUAUUAAAAUAUCAAUGAAUAAUCACUUCUUAUUGAUUAAAAUAUGAAUUCACCAAUGAGAAUAAGAAAUGGGUAUAAAUUACACCUCACUUCUUUUUUUUUUUUUUUUUUUUGAGAUGGAGUCUCGCUCUGUCACCUAAGCUGGAGUGCAGUGGCGUGAUCUUGGCUCACUGUAACCUCCGCCUCCCAGGUUCCAUGAAUUCCCUACCUCAGCUUCCUAAGCAGCUGGGAUUACAGGUACCUGCCACUAUGCCCGGCUAAUUUUUGUAUUUUUAGUAGAGAUGGGGUUUCACCAUCUUGGCCAGGCUGGUCUUGAACUCUUGACCUCGUGAUCCACCCACCUCGGCCUCCCAAAGUGCUGGCAUUACAGGCAUGAGCCACCAUGCCCGGCCUUACACUUCACUUCUAUAAGAUAGAACAACAUGUAAUAGAAAGCACAAAAGUAAUUUUUAAAAAUUUUUGUUUUAAUUUUUUGCCAUUGUAAAUCCAACUUUUUAUAUUAAUAUAUUUAUCUCUGUCAUAUUCUCAACUAUUUAGAUUUAAGUUGUAAAUUACUAUUUAAAUUACUGUUCAAAUCUUAAAAGCAAGAAGUAUUUUUAGGAGUGGGGAUCCACUUAUUCACCCAUUCUGUUUCAUCAUUCAGCAAAUAGUUGAAUGCCUACCAAGAAUUAAGUACAGAGCCAGCACAGAGAAUGAAAUAGGGAAUUUAUAUAUGGUCCCUGCAUCCACAGAGAUACAGUCAAGAAUUCUUUGAUUGAAAGAAAAACAAACAAACAAAAAAAUGAAAAAACAAACCAAAAAAAUGAACUUAAACAAGAAAAUGCAAAAUACACAUUAACUUGCCAAAAUGUGACUCUUAGUUGCAGAAAUUUGAGGGCCCUGUUUUUUGAGGUGACUCCACUGGUUCAUCCAGCCACAAGCACCUUCCAUAGCUAUGUACUUUUCCCCUAAUUCAAUCAGAAGGUAAAUUCAAUUGACAUAGCUGUUUGGUGGUGUUUCCACCUCUGGGAAUGGGUGUGUGACUGUAAUUGGUAGCUCUGCAAUAAACAAAAGGAAAGAAGAUUUUUUAACGAUGAGGAUGUUGGGGGUGUGGAAACUGGUUCUUCUACUGGCAGAAAAAGGGAAAGUGUAUCAGGAGUAGGAACGUCCACUCUAGCUUUCAAUCAUAAGCCAAAAUCUCUCUCUGGUUCAUCUUAUUUAAAAAAUCAGCUUAGUUUCUCUUAGUCUAAAAUUUUAAACUCUGGGUCAAUCCCUACAAUGCUAUUUCACUUUUCCACUUCCUUCCCUUUCUCUUCUUUUUUGUUUCUCUUUCUUUUACUGCUAGCCAUAUGGUUCAGCUUUCCUUAAGAGAACUCAUGCCCAUAAUCAUAGUAAUACAGAAUGUAUUUAAAAAGUCAGUGUUGUAAUGUUUUUCUAUAAUUAUAAUAUUAAAAUAGAACUAUAAUAGUUUUCAGAUUUGUAAAAAAUAUUUUUCAGAUAUAUGUAUGUACAUACAUUUGCUACAUGUGAUGUACACAUGAAUGCUAUUCUCAUUGUGCAGCACAUCGUAUAGGGAAGCAGCUCAAUCACCAGUCAGCACCUGCAAUUUCAAGCCUCUACCCUGGUGGCCUAUUAAUGUUUAAGGUGAAGGAAAUGUCCUGUGGUAACUGGGGCUGUUUAAAAGAGGAAGGAUGGUGCCAGAGACUCAAUGCAACCCAAUAUAUAAAAGGAAUCCACUUUCCUUUUUACUGCACCCUAAGGACAUGCAGUGAUUUUUAUCUUGAUGUCAUUUUUUAAAUAUUUGGGGGUUUGGAGGUUUUUUGUUUGUUUUUUGGUGAUUUUCCUUUCUCUCUGUUAAUAACCACUUCAGUAGUCUAAAUUUCAGACAUUAAACUGAUAUUGCAUUCCUUGCUUUGAGGCUCAUAUUAAAGCCAUUGUUUUCUCUGUCCAUGGCAUCUUAAUAUGCGUGGUGUGUCUCUCCUGACUGGCGGCCAAAUUUCCCUCAGGCUCCAGUUCUAACUGCCGAUGGCAAACCUGUCCUGCCUUGCAGUCCCAGGGGCAUCUGCUCAGGCCUCAGUUUCAGCUGCUCUAGAAGCUGCCUGCCUGUCUGUUGGGGCCAGCCACUUCUCACAUCGUGCAUGGGUCUCAGUUGUCCCUGACUAACAUGCCUCUCGUCACUGUCCUCAAAAGGUUAUCCUUUUCAUACGAACUUUGGCUCAGUAUCCUCGUUUUUGUUUUUAGGCUUUUGACGAUGUGGUGCUAAGAUCUGCGAGUUUUUGAGUUUGCCUUUUGUCUGAUUUAAUUUCUUGUGACUGUGGCUGAAAAAAAGUUUUGAAAUCAGACAUGUUAGAAAACUCAGGAACAUUUGGGAUGCUCCGCCUUCAAAACAUAAAGCAAUUUUUAAUGCAAUAUGACUAAUUGAAGUCUUUGAAAUUAUGCUUCCUCAACCUUCCACAUGUAAUUUGUGUGAUUGUGCAUAGUAUAUGGUCGACACUUUAAAUCAGCCCAUUCCGAAUACACUCUCAAAAUUUGGUGAAAACUUCACCUAUUUGUUUUCACAAGAUGUAGUUUAAAAAAGACAGAAACGUCAUAGAAAUUAACAUUUCAUGACACAUGAGACAAAAGUUUUAGGCUCUUGCUGAACUCCAUGAGCUCUCUGCACAUGAGAACUAGUACUGCGUUGCUGGAUAUUUUCUUAGUGAAGCUACUGCUCGCCUCAGGUCCCUGCUACUCAGCAUUUCCAGAGGGGCCUUGAGAAGUGACAGGCCUAGAGCAUGAAUGCUAACUUGGCAGUAGUGACAAAGGGGUACUUGGAAGUUAUUCCGCGUUCAGAGCAGAGCACAAUCAAGAGAAUGCUUGAUUACUGGGGGGAAAAGAAGGUGAAAAGUGAGGUGUGCCAACAAAAUUGCCUAGGCCUUCUGGAUUUGGGGCACACUUUUUUGUUAAUUAUUUUUAAGAAAAAUCAUUCUCAAAUGAUAUUUCACCCUUUUCCCUCAUUUUUAUGAAAUUCUGCAUUUCGGUCAAUUUCAAAAAAAAAAAGAGUUAAGAGGAGGUAACUGUUGUCUCUGGAUCAUUGGUUCUCACAGUGCCAUAUUCAUAUAUUCUUGUGGAUAUGAGAGUUGUUAGUUUAAAGAAUUAAUGAAAAGAUGUCAAUUUUCAAUUUUCAAGGUGAAUUAACAAAGCAAGUCCUAAUCGAUGUGACUAUGGCUUUUGGUUGUUAGACAAGCAUGUCAUAUGUAUGUACGUAUGCCUUCAUUUCAUCCCUGUGCUCUCUUGUUUAAAUAAAUUCUGUUAAGAGAAAACUGAAAUGGCAGGAGCUUACCAAUGCCUGGGGGGGUGUGAAACGGCCCUCAUUCCCCAUAACUGUGGGAAAUCAUUCCACCAUGGGCCCAGACCAGAAUACUAGCUUUAGUAACUUGCACUAUUUUAGGUAGCAGUGUGAAGACUAGUCAUAGGUUUUGUUGCUGUAACUCAGAACUUAUUUAAAUUAUGAGACCCCGUGUUUAUCACUUGAUAGUAGAAUUAGAAAUGACUUGGCUGGGCACGGUGGCUCACGCCUAUAAUCCCAGCACUUUGGGAAGCCACGGCGGGCAGAUCACUUGAGGUCGGGAGUUGGAAACCAGUCUGGCCAACAUGGAGAAACCGCGACUCUGCUACAAAUACAAAAAAUCCCCAGGCGUGGUGGCGUGUGCCUGUAGUCCCAGCUAGUCAGAAGGCUGAGGCAGAAGAAUCCCUUGAACCCGGGAGGCGAAGGUUGCAGUGAGCCGAGAUUGCGCCACUGCACUCCAGCCUGGGCGACGGAGUGAGACUCCAUCUCAAAAACAGAAAUGACUUUUCUUUUGUCCUUUAUAACAUUUGCAAUUUCCAAAUGUCCUCAAUGAGUUUUUAUUUCUUAAAAAAAACGCAUUAAAAAGUAAUUAAAAAUUUAAAUAUCUAAUUCUAGGGUUAGGAGUCAAUAUUUAUAUCAAGGGUAGUUUAAUUUAGCUCAUAUGAGUUAAAGAGGAGGAAACAUUUGGGGAAUUGGCAUAUUGAGAGUAAGAAAGUUUCAAAAGAAGCAUACCAAAACACUAAUAGUGGCUUUUGGGGUUUAAGGUGAUUAAAAUAUAUUUUGUACUUGUCUGCAUUUUCCAAAAUUUCCACUGUUAGCACGUAUUACAUUUAUCAGUAGAGAAAAUUGCCUUUAGAAGCAUUGCUGAGCCCCGUCUGCAGCCCUAGGUGUCUGAUUCUGCUUUUAUCAAUGUUGUGGUUCCUUUCUCUUUGCACCACAGAGCAAAUAAAAAGCUUGAAACUGUUGCUACACCAUGUUGCUAUAAGAAAAGAAAAUGCAGAAAAAAUUUAGCCUUAUAGACGGCACUUAAGAAUGAAGAACAUAGAAAAACCACUUGCGUAAAGUCACUCACUCCAGGGAAGGAUCUUGCUAAGUGCUUAUUCAUUCCACCCCUUCAGUGAAAACAACAUUCUCCCAAAGCCUAAAAUUUCACAGUUGGAAGUCUUACUUAAAAAGUGCCAAUAGCUGUCAUUUCUACAUUUGAAUAAGGUUAGUCAUUGUUGCUUUUUUCCUAACACCUAAAUCACUUUAGUUCACUGAAGCUCUAGUAGUGUGGGCGUGGGAGUGGGACCAUGGAGGCAUUUUGCAGCGUGGCAUAUUCCAAAGCAGAGAGGAUAAAUCUGAACGGAGACUGUAGUGAAAGGCUCUGGGAGGCUGGGGGUAAGGCGUGUGCUCUAGGUACCUAGAAAUAAAGGGGAAGGCCUGGGAAAUCCUAGGAGACUUAUAGAAGCCACCUAUCAGAGGCAAACAUCACUUGCUUAGAGUCAAUCUGCCGGACGAUACAGCCUUGAGGACAGGAGGGAUAGAAAAAUUAACAAGUCUACAAGGGAUGAGCUCAGAAACACCAAGCAGAUCCAGAUAAACAAACACCCCCUCCAGGAUCCUUUACAGUCUGUUGUCUGAUACUUGAAUUGUAUGACUUUAUUACUUACCCAAGUAUAAUACUUCCAGC